rnacentral:lncRNA from 1 species
GAGGUUGUAGGGUGACGGCGCGGACGCCAUUUUGUCGGUGUUUGUCGCAGCGGCUGGAGAGAAACGACGGCGGUUUGGCGACAUUUCUCGGCCAAAAGGCCUUUUGCUUUUGCGGAGAUGCGGCAUUCCAAACGAACUCACUGUCCUGAUUGGGAUAGCAGAGAAAGCUGGGGCCAUGAAAGCUACAGUGGAAGUCACAAACGGAAGAGGAGAUCUCAUAGCAGUACGCAGGAGAAUAGGCAUUGUAAACCACAUCAUCAGUUUAAAGACACUGAUUGAUGUUCCAUUGGGGCUGUUUACCAGAUUGCUUUCUAAAUUAGCCAGCUGGGGUUACUUUAAAAACAUCACUAUUUAGAAGCAAGAUGCUUGAAUGAGAGAGAUUAUCGGGAUCGGAGAUACAUUGAUGAAUACAGAAAUGACUACUGUGAAGGAUAUGUUCCAAGACAUUACCAUAGAGACAUUGAAAGCACUUACCGGAUCCAUUGCAGUAAAUCCUCAGUCAGAAGCAGGAGAAGCAGCCCUAAAAGAAAACGUAACAGACACUGUGCGAGUCAUCAGUCACAUUCGAAGAGCCACCGAAGGAAAAGAUCCAGGAGUAUAGAGGAUGAUGAGGAGGGUCACCUGAUCUGUCAAAGUGGAGACGUUCUAAGAGCAAGAU